UACGUAGGGUGCAAGCGUUAAUCGGAAUUACUGGGCGUAAAGCGUGCGCAGGCGGUUAUGCAAGUCAGAUGUGAAAUCCCCGGGCUCAACCUGGGAACUGCAUUUGUGACUGCAUGGCUGGAGUGCGGCAGAGGGGGAUGGAAUUCCGCGUGUAGCAGUGAAAUGCGUAGAUAUGCGGAGGAACACCGAUGGCGAAGGCAAUCCCCUGGGCCUGCACUGACGCUCAUGCACGAAAGCGUGGGGAGCAAACAGG
rnacentral:rRNA from 1 species